AAUCUUCCGCAAUGGACGCAAGUCUGACGGAGCAACGCCGCGUGAGUGAUGAAGGUUNNNGGAUCNUCAAACUCUGUUGUUAGNGACNAACAAGUAUCGGAGACACUGCCGGUACCUUGACGGUACCUGACGAGAAAGCCACGGCCAACGACGUUCCAGCAGCCGAGGGCAUACGUAGGUGGCAAGCGAUCGCCGGAUUUAUUUGGCGUAAAACGCGCGCAGGGGGUCUUUUAAGUCUGAUGUUAAAACUUACAGCUUAACUGUAAGCGGUCAUUGGGAACUGGGAGACUUGGGUGCAGAAGAGGAGAGUGGAAUUCCAUGUGUAGCGGUGAAAUGCGUAGAGAUAUGGAGGAACACCAGUGGCGAAGGCGACUCUCUGGUCUGUAACUGACGCUGAGGCGCGAAAGCGUGGGGAUCAAACA
rnacentral:rRNA from 1 species